UCCUGAAGGAACUAGCUAUAUUUCCACAC
rnacentral:piRNA from 1 species